CAGUCGCCACGGGAAUACGGAGGGUGCGAGCGUUAAUCGGAUUUACUGGGCGUAAAGCGUGCGUAGGCGGCUUCUUAAGUCGGAUGUGAAAUCCCUGAGCUUAACUUAGGAAUUGCAUUCGAUACUGGGAAGCUAGAGUAUGGGAGAGGAUGGUAGAAUUCCAGGUGUAGCGGUGAAAUGCGUAGAGAUCUGGAGGAAUACCGAUGGCGAAGGCAGCCAUCUGGCCUAAUACUGACGCUGAGGUACGAAAGCAUGGGGAGCAAACAGGAUUAGAUACCCCUGUAGUCCCUGUCUCUUAUAC
rnacentral:rRNA from 1 species